AUUUCUCUGUCUGAACAUUCUUCAGAUUUGCAUCGUGUCAGAGUUCUGCUCUUCUUCUUCAUCUUCAGACUUUGUGCAGUUUAGAUUUUAACAUUCAAUCCUUUUUACUGAGAACAAGUUGAUCAAAGGACAACAGCACCUUCACACCUGAGCUUUCUCCACCAACUCUACGGUAUCUCUCCUGCUGCUGACACUAGAACUCAUCUCUCUCCUGUCAUUCAGAUCAACAUGAAGAUCUCUAUAUUUGCCAGUGUUCUGCUGCUCUCUGCUGCUCUGCUUUUCCUGGGACCAGAAACUGCAGAUGCUCAAUAUUCAUCAUUUGAAUUUAAGCAUAUCGUCUCGGAGAUGAAUCCUGAUGAAUGUAACGGUACGAUGAAUGCCAAAAAGAUCAGAGAUGACAACAACAAGAAGAACUGUAGGCCCUUGAAUACCUUCAUCAUAGAUUUUUUAAUAGGGUCAAAGCUGCCUGUAGGAAUAAUGAAGGCAGAGAAACAGAAAGAACAACCUUAUACUCUUUCCCUGUUGUUAAUUGCACCACUACAGACAGAAAGCCGUUUCCGUGUGAUUAUACUGGUGCGACUGGCUACGGGAGAAUUGUAGUUAUUUGUAAAGGGCUCAAUCCUAUUCACCUUGAAAGGGUUAUUCCUCAGUAAUUAUAACCUGAUCAAUCAGAGUAAUCUGUUACUACCUGAUGAACCAGAGUAAUCUAUUACUACCUGAUGAAUCAGAGUAAUC